UACGUAGGGUGCAAGCGUUGUCCGGAAUUAUUGGGCGUAAAGGGCUCGUAGGCGGCCAACUAAGUCAGACGUGAAAUCCCUCAGCUUAACUGGGGAACUGCGUCUGAUACUGGAUGGCUUGGAUCCGGGAGAGGGAUGCGGAAUUCCCAGUGUAGAGGUGAAAUUCGUAGAUAUUGGGAAGAACACCGGUGGCGAAGGCGGCGCUCUGGACCGAGACUGACGCUGAGGCGCGAAAGCGUGGGGAGCAAACAGG
rnacentral:rRNA from 1 species